CCGAGUUAUCAACUCCCAAACCCCUGUGAACAUACCCGAACGUUGCCUCGGCGGGACCGCCCCGGCGCCCACAGCGGCCCGGAACCAGGCGCCCGCCGGAGGACCCAAACUCUUGCUUUAAACAGUGGCAUACUCUCUGAGUCUCACAAACAAAAAAUAAAUCA
rnacentral:misc_RNA from 1 species